rnacentral:rRNA from 1 species
CCUCCGGUUUCUCCUCGAUUCCGGUUUGAGACAUUUUGGCUAUCCCAAGAUGGCUUCAUCGAGGAUGUGGCCGCUCGCUAGCUAGAGGCCCGCGCCCACUCCCAGUCCCUGUCUCGCCCCUCCUCCGCCAUCGACUCAUGGCAAUUCUGUGCCAAGCGAGGCCGGUAGUUCAUGAAGGGGUGGGGCGCUAACUUGGGUCACGACCUCCGCGAGCGAAAGAAGGCACUGAUGUCUGCUAUUCAGGUUCUCGACCUGCGCGCCAACGCCUCUGGCCUUUCUCCUUAGGAGUGGCUUUCCCGGUAUGACCUGGAAGACCAGCUCUCAGUCAUCUACUCCGAUGAGGAGGCUUACUGGCGUGUGCGCGGGGCUCAGAAAUGGAUUCUGAAAGGCGACACCAACACGGUGUAUUUUCAGGCCAUCGCGAAUGGUCGGCGCAUGCGCAACACCCCCCUUCUUUGGGAUGGGCCGGCUCUUUUGCAGUCUCCUCGGGACAUUAGGUCCCACGUUGACGGCUUCUAUAGGAAUCUGUUCGCAUCCGCUCUUCGGAGCGGCUUAUCCCUGGCCCUUGACUGCUGGUUCGGCCGACAGCUUGUCUCGGAGGAGGAGAAUGCGGCCCUCACGGCUGCCUUCUCUGAGGAUGAGGUUUGGGCCGCCAUCAAAGGUAUGAACCCUACCUCGGCUCCAGGUCCGGACGGCCUGUCGGUUAAGUUCUUCCAUGCCUUCUGGAAUGUGAUCAAUCCGGAGGUCAUGGCCAUCUUUGAGGAGUUCUAUGUUGGGUCCAUUGAUCUCGGGCGCCUCAACUACGGGACGAUCUCGCUUAUCCCCAAGGUCCCGGGUGCAGCGGACAUCCGUCAGUUUUGCCCGAUUACGAUGAUAAAUGUGAUCUUCCGUAUUCUGGCAAAAGGGUACGCCAAUAGGGUAACCCUGCUCGCGGAUCACAUUACCCACCCCAACCAGACGACCUUCAUCCAAGGU